rnacentral:tRNA from 3 species
UAGAGAAUUGACUGAGUUGGUUUAAGGUGCUCCCCUGCUAAGGGAGUGUAUGCGAAAGUGUACCAUUGGUUCGAAUCCAAUAUUCUCUGCCAU